rnacentral:rRNA from 1 species
GAUGAACGCUAGCGGCAGGCCUAAUACAUGCAAGUCGAACGGUGUAGCAAUACACAGUGGCGCACGGGUGCGUAACACGUAUGCAACCUACCUUACAUUGGGGGAUAGCCUUUCGAAAGGGAGAUUAAUACCGCAUAAGACAGUAACUGGGCAUCCAGUAGCUGUUAAAGAUUUAUCGAUGUAAGCUGGGCAUGCGUCCAAUUAGUUAGUUGGCGAGGUAAUGGCUCACCAAGACGAUGAUUGGUAGGGGAACUGAGAGGUCAAUCCCCCACACGGGCACUGAGAUACGGGCCAGACUCCUACGGGAGGCAGCAGUAGGGAAUAUUGGGCAAUGGGCGCAAGCCUGACCCAGCCAUGCCGCGUGCAGGAAGAAGGCGUUAUGCGUUGUAAACUGCUUUUAUACAGGAAGAAACGACCCUUGCGAGGGGCAGUGACGGUACUGUAUGAAUAAGCACCGGCUAACUCCGUGCCAGCAGCCGCGGUAACAC